UAAAGAAUCACUAAGUUUAUACGUCAUAAUCACUAUAGUCACUCUCUUAUUGUUCCAGUCUCGUGAAUAGAAACGACGGAACAGUAUAGUCACUCUCUUAGUUAAGUUUCCUGAGCAAAGAAAUCAUAACCUCUUCCCCUUUUCUUCUUCUUCUUCAGUGGUUUCUUUGUUUUCAAUAACAAUGGCGAAAUAUGACAUUGAAAGUGGUGGUGGUAUCGAUCUCUAUCCCGAGAUGAAAGAGAGUACGAAGCUUCGCUGGACUUUCAUCAGAAAAGUUUAUGUCAUCAUGCUGCUCCUUUCUAUCCUUUUUCUCGGAGUAGCCGCCGUUUUUCUUUCGUAGAUCUCAUCACCAAUCCCGACCAUCCCCUCGACUUCUUUUAUGUUGUAUUCCGGCUUCGGUUCCUUCGUUAAGUCUCCUUUCACAUAUUUCGUUUUUAAAAAAAAAAAAAAAUCAGUUGAUCCUUCGAUUUCUUGCUUAUUUAGAAAUUAUAGCUAUGCUAAUUGGGUUAUUUAGGGUUUAUAGCUAUGUUAAUUUUUUCGGCAUCACAUUGCUUAUUUAGGGCUUUUGGGUUACUUUAUUUGUGCCAAUGCGAUUCACCAAAAAAGCUCGAGAUUUUAUCGAUACAAUUAGCUACACUUGUUUUUGUUGAUCUUGUACAACGAAUUUAACUGUUCUGUUGAUUCAUCGCUUGAAUGCUUAUAUAUUUAAUGGUGUUUGUGGUGUUGUGGCCACUCUUUGCUUUUGAGAAGUUCCAAAGGAUCAGUUUGAACAUUAAUUGUUAAUUAAGAACAAUAAAAGUGGGUUGUUGUAGUAUUAAUGUUCUUGUCAUGACAGUGGAGGCACUAGAAGAAACGAUUGAGGAAACUAACUAAAGAGGAUGCACGAGAAGAUGAGACAGACAUCCGAUUAGUCUCCAAGCUAUAAGGACGUACAUCUUCCUACACUUGGAAAACUCCAAUUAAUUCUCCUCUACCCCGCUUUUAUUAUUUUGUCAAUUUCUUCAUCCAAUCAAAUGUAUAAAGCUCAUAGUUCCUUUGUAAGUAACUAUUCUCACAUUGUUUGAAUAUAUACGUUGGAGUCUCCCAUGGUUUCUAAUGAACUUCAAUUGGC